UCGAACGGUAGCACAGGACUUGCUCUCGGGUGACGAGUGGCGGACGGGUGAGUAAUGUCUGGGAAACUGCCCGAUGGAGGGGGAUAACUACUGGAAACGGUAGCUAAUACCGCAUAAUGUCGCAAGACCAAAGCACGCGGACCUUCGGGCCUCUUGCCAUCGGAUGUGCCCAGAUGGGAUUAGCUUGUAGGUGGGGUAACGGCUCACCUAGGCGACGAUCCCUAGCUGGUCUGAGAGGAUGACCAGCCACACUGGAACUGAGACACGGUCCAGACUCCUACGGGAGGCAGCAGUGGGGAAUAUUGCACAAUGGGCGCAAGCCUGAUGCAGCCAUGCCGCGUGUAUGAAGAAGGCCUUCGGGUUGUAAAGUACUUUCAGCGAGGAGGAAGGCGUUGUGGUUAAUAACCACAGCGAUUGACGUUACUCGCAGAAGAGCACCGGCUAACUCCGUGCCAGCAGCCGCG
rnacentral:rRNA from 1 species